UAUUCAAGAAAAGAUUGUUUCAUUUUGAAUGAUCUCCUUUAAAGAAAUUAACUGUUGGGUUACAUAGGAAUUAUGCAGUUAUGCAGUGAGUAAAGGAGCAUGAUGAUAAUUGAUGAUGCAAUAAUUAGAUACAAGCUAGAAAAAUAUGUAGAAAUUAAGUUUAUGUGGAUGAAUUUGUAUAAUAUUGUAGUUAACCUUAGUUUGCAGAGAGAACUCAAGAUCAAAUGCUUGGUAGUUUUUCUCUACAAAUCAAUAACAUUCAUCCCAAAACUAUAAAAGAUAUUCUCUAAUGUUCUGGAACGUUCUACGAAUGAAAAGUACAAAGUACAAAGUACAAAGUUAAGUGCGAACGGACUAAAAGCUUUUCAGUUCAAGGAAAGGUGUGCUAAAAAUCUGUAAAAACGUCUCCUUUUGUACGCUUACCGAGCGAAAAAGACAACAUUGCAGGUAUAAUGAAGCGGAAUUUCACAAAACAUGUUUAUUCCAUUCAGUCCCGGCAACCUGACAUCGUGCGAACUUACUUUGGGGAAAAAUUCUAAAAGACCACAAUUAUAGACAGAAGUUUGAACUUACCAAAAUUGAUGGCAAGACUAAGACGAGUAGGACGUAAUCGACCCUCAUUUUAGCAGAUGUGAAAAGCACAACAACAAGUAUUAAAGCUUAUUGCUCAACUAUUC